rnacentral:rRNA from 1 species
GUGUGUCAGUUUGGGAAAGUGACAUGGAAAUGUCCGCCGUGGAGGGUGAUAGCCCCGUCCAUCCCGAUCAGGACGCUCCGUAAACAGAAUAUUUCAGAUGAGUCGGGUAGUUUGGGAAUGCUGCUCUAAUUGGUGGUAAAUCUCAUCAAAGGCUAAAUAACGGUGGGAGACCGAUAGCGAACAAGUACCGUGAGGGAAAGAUGAAAAGCACUUUGAAAAGAGGGUGAAAAGAACCUGAAACCGUUACGGGGGAAGCGGAUUGCAUUAUUCUAGUUUUAACGUGUUCAACCUUUUAGGUGCAUUGACGUUAAAACUUAUCUGCUGUGGAUUUUUGAUAAUUGAAAAUGAAUUAUUAAAGAUUGAGGGCUCCACUUUGUGUGAGGACAGCGGAUUGACGAUGCGAUACGACCCGUCUUGAAACACGGACCAAGGAGUCUAGCGCGGGUGCGAGUCGGAAGGUGUAAAAACCUGUGGGCGAAGUGAAAGCGAGAUAAAACUCUCAGUUUGAGGCGGCAUAUUUUCGUUGAAAAUAGGUCCGACCUUGAGCAGUUGCGCUGGGACCCGAAAGAUGGUGAACUAUGCCGGAGUAGGGCAAAGCCAGAGGAAACUCUGGUGGAGGCUCGUAGCGGUGCUGACGUGCAAAUCGCUCGUCGAACUUGGGUAUAGGGGCGAAAGACUAAUCGAACCAUCUAGUAGCUGGUUUCCUCCGAAGUUUCUCUCAGGAUAGCGGGCCGACAUAGUGUUGUUUUGUGCGGUAAAGCGAAUGAUUAGCGUAUUUGGGGACAUUUUGUCUUCAGACGAUUCUCAAACUUUCAAUGCGCAAGGGUGUUGCUGCUUAAUUGAGCUUCACCGGUAAAAACGUCGGCCCUGUGGGCCACUUUUGGUAAGCA